AUGCUUUGCUGCCAUAUAUUGAAGGUUUUCAACCAUCUUGGGGUCGAUGAAAUCCCAACGCAGUACAUCAUUAGAAGAUGGACAACUAUGGCAAUCCCCUAUGCACCCCCUGCUAUUAAGGAUCGGCCUGACAAGAUGCUGGCACAAUCGAAGAAAGAACUCCGGCAUGCAAAUUUGAUGAUGGAUUUUGGUAGUCUUGCUAGGGUUGCUAGUGUGUCAGAUGCUGUGACGGAUAUUAUAAAGAUGUAUGUGCGUGGAGCACGUCACGAAAUAAACAAUCUCAGCAUGUCAAGGAAGAAUAAAAUAGCAGCACCUCCUAGUGGGCCCACUGGUGGUCCUCCGCCAUCAGCUGGUAGUCAUGUGCCACCAAUGAGAAAUGCUUUGGCGAGUAGUGGCAAUGCACUGCCACCUGCUGCGCAAGCCCCUGCUAGUGCUAGGCAGCGUCAAACUACUUCUGCCCCACAGCCAAAAAAUGUAGCAUCACUAACUACAAACUCUAUGGGACAGGGUGUGUGUGCAGCAGUUGGGGGUGCGCCACUGCACAACGGGUAUGCAGUGCCAAGCUCGUGCACUGCACAGCAUCGUCGGGAUAUGUCCCUCAAAGUAGGGGGUCUGCCCACAACCCGGGGGGCCUGCACCACAACUGUUGGGAACUCCGACACUAAGCAGUGGGCCUGGGAAAAUACUGAGGGGGGCUCCACAACAACUGUUCGGACCUGCAACACUAACUAG
rnacentral:rRNA from 1 species